rnacentral:rRNA from 1 species
UACAGAGUGUGCGAGCGUUAAUCGGAAUUACUGGGCGUAAAGCGCACGUAGGUGGCGACGUAAGUCGGGUGUGAAAGCCCCGGGCUCAACCUGGGAAUUGCAUUCGAGACUGCAUUGCUGGAGUACGGAAGAGGAGGGCGGAAUUCCCGGUGUAGCGGUGAAAUGCGUAGAUAUCGGGAGGAACAUCAGUGGCGAAGGCGGCCCUCUGGUCCAGUACUGACACUCAAGUGCGAAAGCGUGGGGAGCAAACAGG